AUUCAUACAACUAAAAGAGAAUCAGAAAACGUGGCAAAGCUGAUCUUACUCCUCUUCCCUGUAUUUUUAAUAUGAGUUGAAGCGGGUUUCUGUCAGAACACAGAAACACUGCAAAGUCACUUAGCCAGUGCCUACACCCAAGAAGAAAUCAUGACCUGAAGUGACCUCAGAACCAAAGAUCCUCCCCACGGAACCCAAGGACAGGGGCACAACUAGAACUUGAAAGCUGGACUCUUAUCAGAAGAAAGGGCUCCCUCCUUCAGGAAGAUCCGGUGUUAAUGUUCCCUCUGCCCCUCAUCAUAAAUGUUUAGAACCCUGUCAUAAAUGUUUAAAACCUUGCCAUAAAUGUUUGAAGCCCACCAAUCAAAGCCUGUGCCGUGAGUGUUUCCACAUGCCAACCUGUUCUCCCUAACCUCUUAAAUUUCACCCCAAAUCUUGAAUUAGGGAGACAGAUAUGAGGGCACACACACCCCAUGUCCCUGUAGAUCAAUAUCACAGAAUAAAAGCUGAUUUCUCCCCCAAAGGCUGAUGCCAUAAUUAAUUGGCUUGUUAAUGCACAUUGG
rnacentral:lncRNA from 1 species